AUGCAACUUCCCACCUCAUGUAGAUUCCCUUUAUCUUCUGAAGGCCCUUCCAAGAACUCAAAGCCCCUCUUCAUCAGGUUGUGGCCCAACGUGACAGCUGUCACACCCCUGUGGCGUCUGGCUGACUGGAUGGGGGCUCUUCAAAACCAGAGGCUUCCAGGCUCCAUCACCUUUGAUCCUGAUUCGCAGUGGGGUUUGAAGAGACGCUUGACACCGUGGUGCAGACUCUUGUUGUUGAAUCUUUGCUGCAGGUCUUGGAGGAAAUGUCUAGGAUCCAUGAGAGUUCACAGAAGGGUCUGCUACAGUGGAAGUGUCUGUGGUGACAUUCCUAAAGAAGUGACGUUUGAGUUGGUAUCAAAGGGCUACUGAAGAACAACGGCCCCCACCAAUGUCUCAGUCUCAGGAGAGGAUCCUCCUCUCACCAAGAUGCCCCUAGAGCCCACCAGGUGACUUGAAGAAAGGAAGAUUAUCAAGAUGUACAUAACCGAGUGGCAGGAAACUUUUAAAAGCUGAGAGUUUCCUCUGGUUGGUAGCAGAAGA
rnacentral:lncRNA from 1 species